CUGUAGCUCAGUCAGGUAGAGCGUCGGACUUUUAAUCCGAUGGUCGCGGGUUCGAACCCCGUCGG
rnacentral:tRNA from 1 species